rnacentral:rRNA from 1 species
UACAGAGGUCUCAAGCGUUGUUCGGAUUCAUUGGGCGUAAAGGGCGCGUAGGCGGCGGGGUAAGUCGGGUGUGAAAUCUCAGAGCUCAACUCUGAAAUGGCACUUGAUACUGCUCUGCUAGAGGACUGGAGAGGAGAUUGGAAUUCCCGGUGUAGAGGUGAAAUUCGUAGAUAUCGGGAGGAACACCAGUGGCGAAGGCGGCGAUCUGGGAAGAUACUGACGCUGAGGUGCGAAAGCGUGGGGAGCAAACAGG